GGGGAGCGCCGAGUCAGAAGAGAGCUAAAAUGGCGGAGGUUGUGAGUCCCUGCUUUGACUCUGUUUGCAAACUCUUGUUUCAUCGUUUAAGCGAUUAAAUCUCUCGAGUAGACGCUGUCUCUUUAGAUGCAAGGGCAAAAUAGCACUUUAUGGACUUCCACAGAGGACAUCAUGUUUAAUACGGUUCCGGAAAAAUCCAGUCAGAAGUUGUUCACGGAGUUUUCACAAUAACUGCUUCUCAUGAACCGAAGCUGGACGUCUCCUCCUGAAAGUUGGAUUAACGUUACUGUGCACUUCUGGAUCACAGGCUAUUCGCAGCUGGACACAUCCUUCUACACUGUAUGCAAACAUGCAACAUCAUAACACACAGUACAAGGAGUCAGACUGGCAUAUGAGGAGCAAAGGAACCCAGACAGUAGCAUCGUUUCACAAUGUUUCCAUCACCAUCAUCAGUGGAUGCCUUUGCCGUCCAUAGCCUGAGAUUUCAGAUUUGCAGCAAAAAAAAUUGAUUUUCUCAUUUAUUGGAAUGCUAUGCAGGUUGUACCUUGCAGCCAUCCAUUACAAUGUCACCAAGCCGUAACAAAAGCAGGAGAGGAAAAGUACAAGGCUAUGUUCCCAAAACACACAAAUGACAUACCUUAUGUGGAUGAUGUGAUCAGGCUUCUGUUUGCUGAGGUAUUUGAAGAUAAGCUGAAGGAAACCCCGAUUCCAAUGGACCUGGCAUCACAGUUUGAGAGACCUUCAAAGGAGGACGUGAUUGCAUGCCAUCUUGAGUGCAG